GCAAGUCGAGCGGUAGAAUUGAUAUUGAAUCUUCGGAUGAUUUAUUAAUUUGAGAUCGGCGAACGGGUGAGUAACACGUUGGUAUCUGCCCCCAAGUCAGGGAUAGCCAUUGGAAACGAUGAUUAAUACCGGAUAGUCUCUUCGGAGUAAAGUUUUAUUGCUUGGGGAGGAGCCUGCGUUCUAUCAGCUAGUUGGUGAGGUAAAAGCUCACCAAGGCUAUGACGGAUACCUGUUCUGAGAGGAUGAUC
rnacentral:rRNA from 1 species